rnacentral:rRNA from 1 species
UACGUAGGGUGCAAGCGUUAAUCGGAAUACUGGGCGUAAAGCGUGCGCAGGCGGUUUGGUAAGACAGAUGUGAAAUCCCCGGGCUCAACCCUGGGAACUGCAUCUGUGACUGCAUAGCUAGAGGUACGGUAGAGGGGGGAUGGAAUUCCGCGUGUAGCAGUGAAAUGCGUAGAUAUGCGGAGGAACACCGAUGGCGAAGGCAAUCCCCUGGACCUGUACUGACGCUCAUGCACGA